CAUGCUGAAUAUGCCGGCUCUCGUUAGAUCACCGAAGUCAAGCAUCAUUGGGCGCGGUCAGUACUUGGGAGGGUGACCACCUGGGAACACCGCGUGCCGUU
rnacentral:rRNA from 1 species